UUCACUUCAAACGUAACAUGAAGCGGACGUAACAUGAGGUAUGACUGUAUGGUGUAGUUUGCUGGCUUAAUUUAACUUCCUAGUUUUAAAAUGACUGAAGAUUUUGACAGAUUUUUCUGAGCACUUUGGGUCAAAAGAAAGUAACUUAAAACAACUGUUGUUGGGACAUUCCAUUCUGAAUCUGUUUGACAGAGCCAAACAGAGGAUGAUGACAGGUGGGUGCCCCCCCCCCCGAGCAUAAGAUCCUGGCUAUGCCCAUGGUGGGCGGGGAGAAACCAUGUGGUGAAACAAGGGGGACAAAAUUUUCUCCCCAUUGCUCCACCACAGCAUUUCUCACCCCCAUUUCAUGACAUCUUCCUUUCUCUUCUUUUCUGCACCUCUAUCAAACCACUAGGGACGCGGGUGGCGCUGUGGGUUAAACCACAGAGUCUAGAACUUGUCGAUCAGAAGGUCGGUGGUUUGAAUCCCCAUGACGGUGUGAGCUCCCGUUACUCGGUCCCUGCUCCUGCCAACCUAGCAGUUCAAAAGCACGUCAAAGUGCAAGUAGAUAAAUAGGUACCACUCCAGCGGGAUGGUAAAUGGUGUUUCCGUGUGCUGCUCUGGUUCGCCAGAAGCGGCUUAGUCAUGCUGGCCACAUGACCUGGAAGCUGUACACCAGCUCCCUCAGCCAAUAAAGCGAGAUGAGCGCCGCAACCCCAGAGUCCACGACUGAACCUUUACCUUUACUAUCAAACCACUAACCCACAGAGUUGUGCUACUUGUGCAGCUGCCUCGUGAUGGGCUGGCUCCUAGCUUUGCAAGAGAGCAGCUGCAGUCUCCAACCAAUGAGCGAUGGUGCAAAGGCCACUCAGCAGAAUGGAAAGGGGAGGAGUGUUUUUGUGGGGUGGGGGGAGGAAAGAGGGAAAGGAAGAGGGGGGUGAGAUGAGUAUUCUCCCACCACAACAUUACCUUUUCUCCAUAUAAAGGCACAUUUGCAGUCAGUCCAAAACACUCAGGGAGGGUGCAAAGCAAGACUGGAGAGGGGCGGCCUGAGCCCCAACGAAAAGACUCGGAGGGCUGUAUUUGGACCCUGAGUCUGAUAUUCCCUACCCAUACUCUAACCCAGCACCCUUAACAAACUACAAUUCUCAUGAUGUUUGGUGGGGAACAUUGUCUGGUUGACCUCAGGAGGCAAAAUGUCUUGGGCUGACCCAGACCUCUACAACAAAUAUUUUAUCUUAUUGGCACAAUGACAUUUUCGCGCAGGUGGAAAAAUUAACCUACAGACUCAAAGCACUAAGGCAGGGGUCAGCAACUUUUUUCAGCCGUGGACCGGUCCACUGUCCCUCAGACCAUGUGGUGGGCUGGACUAUAUUUUGGAAAAAAUAAUGAACAAAUUCCUAUGCACCACAAAUAACCCAGAGAUGCAUUUUAAAUAAAAGGACACAUUCUACUCAUGUAAAAACAUGCUCGUUCCCGGACCACCCGCGGGCCAGAUUUAGAAGGUGAUUGGGCCGCAUCCAGCCCAUGGGCCUUAGGUUGCCUACCCCUGCACUAAGGAGUCCUGACACUUUUCAGGGCACGUUGUAUACCUUGAUCACACAUGCCAUCCAAGAAGAAAAUAACUUUGCUCCUCAAUCCACUUGUGGCAGUUUCUGGCUAUGUACCUCGGGCUGAUGCUUAGGAAGAACCCAAACCUUUAAUGAGUUUGUUGUUUUAUGAUUUUAAACCUAGUUAUAUACUUUGAUGAAUUUUUCAUCCAUGGCUAUCUAUAUUUUGAAACAAUAAAAAAAAUCUGUUAAAGAACAACAUUUCAGCAUAUGGGACCAUACUUUAAAUCGCACUAACAUUUAUACCACUAGAAGCAUGUACGUGGGGGGACAGAUGUGAGGGGGGGGAUUGGUGGCAGGCAGUGAAAAGGACACACCCACUAUCAACCACUCUCUGCCUUCCCACUCCAUCUCUGCACCAACCUUUGAUCAAGCUGUUGCCCAGAGAUGGCAUCCAGGGCUGUUUCUUUUCCCCCUUUGCAUCUUCUUACUUGUGUCAAUUUAAAGGUGUUAAUAUAAUCACUACUGUAAGCAAUAUGACUUUUGACCUCCCAGCCCUCUUAAAGUAGGGGGAAAGGGAUCCCAGCCAAGAGCCUCUUACUAGUACAAACACUCAAGCCCUUUUUACUAGUCAGGUAAAGGGCUAAAUUAUGUUGCUAAUUAAUUUUAUAUUUCCUCUGGCUACCCCCCAAAAAAUCUGGAGCUGCUCAACAUUCCCCGAAUGAGAGCUUUUUGCCAAGAAUUCAGGUAUGCUAUUAAAGAACAAGGCCAGCAAAAUAGCUGAGCUCAUGCUUCCUGUGAAGCACAUACACACACAAACACACAACAACACAACACAACACAACACAACACAACACAACACAACACAACAAACACACACACACAAGGAUGAGAAAGAGGGCAGGAAGCAAAUAAAUAAAUUGUCAUAUCAAAUUCAAAACAGACACAUAUUUGAGAUUAAGCAGGGGCAGCAAAAGUCUAUGUCCAUAGCAACCUAACAGAAGGGAUUCAACAAAGGGAAAAAUAAUAUAUUUGCCAGUAUAAGCACCGGCUGCGGGGGGAGAGACCAAGAGAAAGAUAAAAUGCUAGUGAAGACAGCUAAAGAAGUGAGUACCUCUCAUUAGUCUCUCCAGAAGAAAAAGAAAGGGGGGGGGACACGUUGUUUUAGACUAGAGAAUAGAAACAAAGAUAUAAUUGUGGUGGUUUUGUGUGUCUAAGCAAGCAAUUGCUGCCAUAGUUUUGUCCUUUGCAAAUACCAAAGCAGCAGCUCACAUGUGAUUUUCAUUUAUUUCCCAUGAUUAAAAACAAGUGAAAAGGCCAGAGAGUCUCAAACAGAUCUGUGAGUACGAAGCUGUCAUGUUUUGGACUGAGUGGAAAACACAAUGGAAGGAGCAGGGUGGGGGUGGCAGAAUUAGACAUAUGCAUAGUCCUCAGUUUGGGCCAGAGCUCCACUUAUAUUCAGUGGUGGUGGUGGGCUUGUUUGUUUUGGAAUAUAUGAAGGCAGGAUAAAUGAAAGUGCCCCUGAGCCGCUACAGGCUGCAGAGUCAAUAUUUAAUUUCAUUUCUGACAUGACUUUCCUCACCGCUGCAAUUUAUCCUUAAGCAGGGCUGGCCCAAGACAUUUUGGCACCUGAGGCAUCCCAUGGGGGCAUCUGGUUGGCAACUGUGAUUCCAGGAUCCUGGACUAGAUGGGCCAUAUUGGCCUGAUCCAGCCAGACUCUUCUUAUGUUCUUAAGCAGAUUCUCUACCUAUGAACUUUUGCUAUCCCUGCUUUCCUCCCAAGGAGCUUGGUUGGGGGGGGGGCGGGUGUAAACAGCUCUCCAUCCAUGGAUUUUAACCUCAAACCCACCCUAUGAGAUAAUUUAGGCUGAGAUAUAGCAACUGCCUAAGGUGCGUUUCAUAUCUGAUCAGGGAUUUGAAUCUCAAUUUUCCCAUCUUACUCCCUCAUGCUAUAUACCCUCUGACAGUCCCAGAACUACAGAAGCUGCCCCAGUUUCUCAUCUGAUCCCAUAAUGUCCCAGUUUUCCUUUUUCCUCCCCUCCCCAUCUCGGAGUACAAUUAAAAGUUGUGUGCCUGUUUGUGUAGGUUCAAGAACGGAGAUCUGUGUAUCCUGAAAAUAAAAUACCAACCCCAAAUGAAGGAAAUGAUGAUACUGGCAUAUGAAGUCCUCCCUAUGAUUUUGAAGGAAAAGGUCACCAAUCCAGUGCAAAUUCUUCAAUUGCGUUGCUUCAACAGCCAGCCAUUUCUUAGGAAACGCAGUGUUCAUUCCUGUAUUGUAAAUAGAGCCUUACGCUGUCUACUCAUAAGUAAGUCCCACAGCAUUCAAUGGAGCUUACUCUCAGAUAAUUGGGUAAAGACUGGACAGCCUUACACUGCAACCCAGAUCAUUUUUACUCAGAUGUAAGCCCCGCUGAGUUCAAUAGAAUUUACUCUCGAUAUGUUCCUGUGCAUUUUGAGUUUCCAUUAUCCUGCCUUUUUCCCUUACAGGGACUCAAGCCAGCUUACAGCUAAAAUUUAAUUUCAUUCUGUUUAUCUGUGGAAGGUGUUGUACACGAUCCCUUCCCUCACACAUUUUUUUCUUUACAACAAUCCUGUGAGGUAGGUUCAGUGGAGAGGUGGUAAUUGGCUCAAGGUGACCAAGGUAGGAUGUGUAUAUGAUAUCUAUGGACUUGGCUACAUUUGUAAAGAUAAAGGGCUUUAGAUGUGUUAAAGCAUUAUGACACCAGAUGGCGCUAUUGAGUUCCAUUUUUGCCAGCGGAACUUCCCUUUAUGAAGUUCAUAAUGCAUUUAAGUGAAUCGCUUCUUUGAUGUGUCUAGAUCCAGUCUCUCUGUUUGGCAAGAUCAAACAUGGGAGAAGCUUCCUGAGGUAGAACACGAUGUUCCUUUUUUCAUUGGAGAAAUGUUGGAGGAUAUGAUGCUAUACCUCUCUAUAUGAGGUAUGAUGCUAGCUUACCUCUCUAUAAUUACAGGUGACAGGCAGAGGGAAAUCCCUGAAGCAUUUCCAUUGUCUGUAAAGGACAUUCCCAUCCCUAACUGACUGUGCAAAAGUUUGAGCAGGUUGCUGAAUGAUACAUAGCUUGGUUGGUCUACGGAGGGGAAAAAACCCACUUGGCCCUGCUGUGAAUAUUAUCUAUUCCAUCCCUCAGUUGCAAGGAAGAUUGUUUUCCAUUGCUCUAGCAGCAGACAGAGAAAUUAACCUUGCAUUUUUCUGACUGUUGGAGUGAAGUGUGCCCCUGAUAUUAUUCUAGAAAAGAAAUGUGCCUCUUGCAUAAAAAAACAAACCUGGGGAAUUCUGCAAUGCACUCUUCAUGCUGUGCCUGGAAGCAUUUACAGUUUGCCAGCCGAAGACAAAAAUUAACCCACAGAUUAACAUGUUAAAUUUCACUUUAUGGUCCCCCAAGAAAUGAAACCAAAUGUGCUAGUGCAUAGCACAUUUGCAUUGAUUUCCUGUCCCAUGAUCUGUUACAUUGCAAUGUACGUCUGGGGUUGGAGGCAAAUACAUUCCAGUGCCAAAACUGUACGGAAUGUGCAAAGAGGUCAAGCCUGGGAAUUUGUAUGUUUCACAGCUAUUUUGGAAUUACGGGAAAGGAACUUGGCUCUUUGUGGCAUGAAGUCAAGCACAGCAGUCACACAGGUGUAAUAAACCAACAGGGCUCAGUGGCAUUCAGCCUUGCAGUCACAAUCCUACAUUAUUAGAAGUUUUUUUGGGGGGAUGUCUAAAUAAUUGAAACGAACUGCUGAGAGAUGAACUGGUAUUGGGGAAGGAAAGGUGGGGAAAGAGGGGAAGUGAAAGAACAUUCUUCCAAUCCUUUUAAUAUUGAACUAUGCAAAGGCUUAGGGACACGGGUGGCGCUGUGGGUUAAACCACAGAGCCUAGGACUUGCUGAUCAGAAGGUUGGCGGUUCGAAUCCCUGCCACAGGGUUAGCUCCCAUUGCUCGGUCCCAGCUCCUGCCAACCUAGCAGUUCGAAAGCACGUCAAAGUGCAAAUAGAUAAAUAGGUACCACUCCGGCGGGAAGGUAAAUGGCAUUUCCCUGUGCUGCUCUGGUUUGCCAGAAGUGGCUUAGUCAUGCUGGCCACAUGACCCAGAAGCUGUACGCCGGCUCCCUUGGCCAAUAAAGCGAGAUGAGUGCCACAACCCCAGAGUCGGUCACGACUGGACCUAAUGGUCAAGGGUACCUUUACCUUUACCUUUCUGCAAAGGCUUAGAAUCAUAGAACUAUAGAAUUGAAAAGGAUCCGAAGGGUAAUCUAGUCCAAGCUCCCUCAAUGCAAGAAUCACAGCUAAGGAACUCCAUCAGAUGGUCAUCUAAGCUCUGUUUCAAAACCUCCAAUAAAGGAGAGUCCACCACCUUCUGAGGGAGUCUGUGCCACUGUCAGAAAGUUCUUCCUAACGCUUAAUAGGAAUCACCUAUUCUUGUAACUUGAAGCCACUGGUUUGGGUCCUACCCUCUGGAGCAGUAGAAAACAAGCUGGCUCUACUGUCCAUGUGACAGCCCACCAAAUAUUUUAAGAUGGCUUUUCUAUCAUCCCUCUUCUCCGUGUUUCUAGACCCUUACCCACCCUCCUCUGCACACAUUCCAGUUUGCCGAUAUCCUUCUUAAAUUGUUGAGCCUCAUAAUUCAGCUAUGCAAGAGGAUUGACCCACAUGAGCAGAUUUCAAUAAGAUUCAGGUUCCUCUCAGAAUUGGUGAACAAUUCUGAAAUUGACGACAAUAGUAGUAAAUAUUGUAUUACAAAGAUGAUGUUGACCACAAAUUAGUAAACAAGUGUUAUCAGUUAAAAUAAUAAUUGCACCUUGGGAAAGAAGAAAGAAAACACGCCAUCUAAAUGCAAUAUGCAAAAAUUCUCCAACUUAUUGGUGAGCCACACCUAAUUGAUGUGUUCCCCAAUAUUACCAGUGCGCUUAAGCUGUACAGUGGUACCUCUGGUUACGAACUUAAUUCGUUCUGGAGGUCCAUUCUUAACCCAAAACCAUUCUUAACCUGAGGUGCACUUUCACUAAUGGGGCCUCCCACUGCUGCCGCACCGCCAGCACGCGAUUUCCAUUCUUAUCCUGGGGCAAAGUUCUCAACCCAAGGUCCUACUUCCGGGUUAGCGGAGUUUGUAACCCAAAGUAUUUGUAACUCGAAGAGUUUGUAACCCGAGGUACCACUGUACUUGACAAUGCCUGUCUCGAGCUGUGAAGCAGAAAGGAAUUUACCAAUGCUAUCCUUUAUAAAGAACAAAAAUUUAGGUCACCAAUGACAGGAAGAGCGCUGAGCGUCCAACAUGGCUUCCACUUGAGUGCAGGAAGCUCCUGCAGUCAAUUGGAAGCUGCACCUUGGUUUUCAAACAGUUUUGGGAGUCAAAUGGACUCCCAGAACGGAUUAAGUUUGACAACCAAGGUACGACUGUAAUCCCUUGCUAUACAUGAAAGGGUGUGUCUAGCAGUAUCAUGAAUCAGAAGGAAGGGGGUAUUGGUCAGUGGGCUUUAUAAGACUUGGCAAGUUCUCUGUCACAUCGUGAAUUUUUGCACCUGGAAGAUAGCACACCUCCCAGGAUAUAUUGUUACUUUCGCACUUUGCUGCCUCUAUCCCCCUCAACAGAGAGUCACCUACCACCACCAUAUGUCUCUUCCUCCUCUGGGGUGUUUCAGGAAUUGUUCUGUACACUGCACCUUCUGCAACUACUUUGGUCUGUUCUGAGGUCUGCAACUGCUGCUCUUGCUCCUCUGACCCAGUACUAGUGUCUGAAUUGAGACACCAGUUCUAGGCCAGAGAAUAGGAAUUGAUUUUGCAGCUCCAGUGACAUAGCAUGGCUCUUGACAGUCCUGCUUCUGUGUAUCAUGUCCCUCCAGGGGUUUGUUUCCUGCAUUGGGUGAUCUUCCUCCCACCUGUGUUAAUGUUGCAAGACAGUCCACUGUGCUCCAUCAUGAAAUUCCUCAUCUUCUCUGAUAACUUGAAUUGUGGAUGGGUGGGUCUCGAGUUGCUGUAUGUUCUCUUCCAGCAAGGCUACCAGCUUGCACUUGCUGCAGGUGUAGUUUCAUGAAUUCUCAGGCAGGAAGACAAGCAUGGCACAGAGGCAUCAAAGGAACAAUAACUUUCUAAAUGCCCUGACUAUAAGCUGGUUCACAGAUAAUGCUACACUCAAACUGCAGUCAAUAGCCAAGAUUUGUUCCUGGGUUUAUAGCUCUUGGUUUGUCUGGAAGAGACAAACCACAAGCCCAGGUUUUGACAACACCAUGGCUUAGCAUAUAGCAGAGCAGAAGCGGAAGGACCAGGGGAAAGGUGCAGCAGCUGUGAUCUUGUCUCAAGGAACCCUCAUGCUUGCUGGCACCAAGCCACGGUUUGGCUUAGCAUUACAGUAUGAUCACAUCUUGCAUGUAUUUAUCUUGUGCAAUUUCAACCAUACGUGGUUGAAGGCCAGCUGACUGAAGUUCCACAAGUUAAAUCCAAGCAAGGCUGAGAGUUGAAAAGCACUUUUUGUGCUUUGUGUGUGUGCCAGGUCUACUUUUGUGCCAGGGUUGCCUUGUGCAUAAAGAGCUUUAAGGCUCUCUGCUUUGCUGGGUGGGUGGCAAGUUCUGCUCAGCAAGCUGCUCUAGGAUGCUUUCGUGAGAUCUCAUGGGGCCAUACCAGCUCCUGUGAGAUCUGCAUUGGGCAUCCCUAGGCUACCAGAGCUAGUGCACUGGGCCUUACUUGCUGCAUGAAGCCCACUCAGCUCACCAGCUCAGGAUGCUUUCUCUCUCUUCCCAACAAAUGUUCCAGUUUGUUCACUGGGGGGAAUGACUGAGCUUCUUCAUGCAGCCAUGUGCUAGGUAAAGGUAAAGGGACCCCUGACCAUUAGGUCCAGUUGUGGCUGACUCUGGGGUUGUGGUGCUCAUCUCACUUUAUUGGCCGAGGGAGCCAGCGUACAGCUUCCAGGUCAUGUGGCCAGCAUGACUAAGCUGCUUCUGAUGAACCAGAGCAGCACACGGAAACACCGUUUACCUUCCUGCCAGAGCGGUACCUAUUUAUCUACUUGUACUUUGACGUGCUUUUGAACUGCUAGGUAGGCAGGAGCAGGGACCGAGCAACGGGAGCUCACCCCGUCACGGGGAUUCGAACCACUGACCUUCUGAUCAGCAAGUCCUAGGCUCUGUGGUUUAACCCACAGCACCACCCGCAUCCUUAUAGCCAUGUGCUAAAUACCCAUUAUUCAAGAACCUGAAGUCCCUAUCGGCUGUAUGUCUUCAAAGGCACAGAGUCCUUGCUGAAUUAGGCAACAUUUGCCCAAGGUCCCAACAGUAGCGGGGAGGGUUUCGUAAACAGCACAGGGAUGAUUUCACACAGUCCAAAGGCAUAGAGGGGAACAGAUCUCUGGAGGAAUGGAGUGCAAGCCUCCACAGAUACAUUCUUCAGCUCAGAUGCCCCUUGCCUCUUCACCCCCAUGUGUGGGAACCCUGACACCUCUACCCCAGUCAGGGAGAUGGAGAAAGGCUUCUCAUGUAGCACUGCUGAGCUUUUGGUCUGCUCCAGAACCCCAGUUGGCAAUGCAGGAGAGCACCUCUCCUGGCUGGAGAGGUUGCACGCAGCUUUGGCAGAAGCCAAGACAGCGAGCGGGAUGGAUCCAGCUCGCUGUCUUGGCUUCCUUUUUAGCCUGAGCUUCCCCCGACCUCAGCCUCCAGAACAGGUCGGGGAGUGGCGGCAAGGUUGCGCACAGCCUUGCCUCUGCUCCCGGAGCUGGCGGGGGAAGCCUGGGGGCCCCAGGGACCACACAUUCGCUCCAUAAGACAUUUCCCCUUAGUUUUUAAGAGGAAAAAAGUGUCUUAUGGAGUGAAAAAUACGGUAUAUAUGGAAUGGGGGCAUGUUUGUAUCAUUUUGUCCUUUGCCUCUAGCAGUGAAAUAUCUUGGACCAGCCUUGCCCUGGGUCCUCCUCUGUCUAGGACUCCCCCAGCUGAGAGCUGACAUGGAGCUAGACAAUCACACACAUGAAAGAAUGUGUGAUUCGCCCUGUAUGUGCAAUUUCCCCAUAUCUUUUGGAACAGAGAGGGACCAUGUGGUUAGAGAAAAUAAAGUGUACAUAACUACCCAGCAUCAUGACACAUGCUAUGUGUGUAAACUCCAGCCUCCACACAGCCUAAUGUCUGAACUGGGUUUCUUUUUCCUAAACAGCUAUAUGUUUGAAACAUGGAAGCUUUAAUUGCUUCAAGACUCUACUGAUUACAGUCUUUUUUCCCCUUUUUUUAAAAAAGAAAGGAAUCAAAUGUAUUAAAAAUUUAAUGCCACUGUGAGUUUCAGUGUGUGAAUUUCUCUCGCUGUAGAGACCAGCUCAAAAAUCCUGCUGCCUUUGGGCGUUGCGUGAGUUUGUGCCACCCUAUAACUUAAUAUUACUGCUGUAAAUAUGAGGGAAAUGAAACCCGUAUGCUCUCCCUGCGGUAAAACAGUCCCCAUCUAGUUAAGUUAAGCUCCUGAUUUUCAUAAACCACUUUUUUUCUUGUUAAAGUAAUACCACAUUUAAGUUUAGGGUUUGUUUUUAAGUAGAAUAAAGAGUUAAGGUAAUCUUUACCUUAGGGCCUCCAGAUACAAAACAGUUACAAAUUUGGAAAAUGAAAAGGUUGAAACAGGUAAGCAUUGCUGUUGAUAUUCAUUAUGAAUAUACUUUGUUUUAAAGAUGAAACACCAUAGCCCAUAAUACAGUAUCACAUUGCCCAGCCUAUAAGGACGGUCCUGCUUAAUCAAACCAAAGGCUCAGUCAGCCCAGCAUUUUCCUGUCUCCAAAAGGAAGCCUAAAAGCUGGGCACAGAAGAAGGUGACCCUCCAACAUUCAAUGCCCCUAGAAACUGGGUAGCCAAAGGUAUACUGCCCCUGAAUAGUGAGGCUCCAUUUAGUUGUCAUGGCUUACAGUGGCAGAGAGCCUAUACUGCAUUUUUUAAUUUGCUUGUUUAUUUAGAGCAUUUGUACCCUGCUCUGUAGAAAGGCUUACACACAAUCAGUGCUUUUUUUUUCUUUAAAAAAAACUGUUUAGGGGUACUCUCAUUUUGACUCAAUAAAAUCACCAUUUUAUAGUUCAAAUCAGGGAAAAUAAAUACAGUAAAUGGACAAAAGUAUAAAGAUUCACAAAAUGUUUAGAGGUAUGCGUACCCCUGUGUUCCCCCCAGAAAAAAGCACUGCACACAAUCAAAACAAAAUCAGUCCCCUACCUAUAUACUUAUGAUCUAAACACACACACACACACAAGGAAUAUGUACAGGGAGGGAAGAGGAAAACAAAAACAAAAACUUGGGCACAAAUUUCUAAACUGUUGUUUCUAUAUUGACCAGCUGGCAUAGUUCUUGGGCAGGAGGUGCUGGAUGGAACUGUGCCUCCAGCAAAGAUGAUGGAGGGAGCCUUCUUCUUCCUGUCUCUCCCACUGAGGCAGACCAAUGGAAUGGCUGCUCCCAGUUGAUGGCUGGGACAAGGGGAGGGGUGGUCUGAUGGAGCUAAUGGAGUCAACUCUGCUCCCCAGCUCUCCCACAUGAAUUUGUAUAAGUUGGUUUCUGCCUCCUACUGUAUAUAGUGGUACCUCAGGUUACAGACGCUUCAGGUUACAGACUCCACUAACCCAGAAAUAGUACCUCGGGUUAAGAACUUUGCUUCAGGAUGAAAACAGAAAUUGUGCUUCGGUGGCGUGGCAGCAGCGGGAGGCCCCAUUAGCUAAAGUAGUGCUUCAGGUUAAGAAAGCGUGUUCUCCUUCAUGGAGAGCAUGUGUUGCGGUGGGGGCUAGCAAGACACCCACUGUUGCUGGGCGGGGAAGGAGUUGGCCACCAUUACUAUUGAGCUUACUGUUGCUGGGGAGAUUUAAAUGUUGCCUUUUCGUGAUUGACAGCCAUAGCUUUUAAAUACCCUGUGCACAGCUUUAAGCUUUCUCUUUUCACUGUGCGCAUUGGAUCACACGCCCUCCCUCCCUAUUUUCAAGUUGUUCGCUUGACCUUGCUAUGCCUGUCAUGGGGUCAUCUGCUUUGGGGCAGGGGCCCAGUAGGAAUUUUGUCCAUUUGGCUGAUUGGUUGGUGCCAUUUGGUUUUUGCCUACUGCGUAGCAAAUCGUCACAACUUGUAAGGUUGCGGUUAGGCAUUGGUUUUGGAAUUGGUUGGUGGAGGGGUAUGGAUUGGCUGUGCCUGCCCCUCUAAUGCUGCUGCUGCAAGGGUUUUCCGUUAAAGGAAAGCUCGCCAUGAUUUUGUCUGAACCCCUGUCAAGGGGCUAGGGCCACACAAGAGCUCCUGGGAGCAUUUGGGGAUAAGUGAGGCAUGGUUCCCAGUCCCGUCUCUCUCCCCAAAUUGUUUACCCUUUCUGACUUCGCGGGCGUGCAAAUGUCAUUCUGUCCCCAUGCGGGGUCAGAUAGUCACAACCAAUGCCUAAGCAACCACUCAUAUCACUUAUAAUUUUAAUAAAGUUGUGGCCAAAAUUAUGCCAAAAACAUUAAAACUGAAAUCUUAUGUCAACUGUGUUUUAUUGGGGGGGGGGGUGUUGGGACCUCGACACGCAACAGUUUCAGGUUAAGAACGGACUUCCGGAACAAAUUAAGUUCUUAACCCGAGGUACCACUGUAUACAGAAAUGUUGGUUGGUUGUUUUUAUUCCUUUGGCAAUUUGUCUGCCAAAUCCACACACACACCCCAGUCUCUUUAGCUUGCUUUUUAUCAAACAUACUUUUAGCAAGGCUUGCAUUUUAUUUUUUUUAAGGCUUCUUGCCUUUUAUAGCUUCCUUGACACUGCUAUUUAACCUUGCUGGCAUCCACUUGGACAUGUUCACCAUAUUUCUAUUUUAUGGUAUGCAUUUUUAGCCUUCUCCUCCUUCAUGAAUUUGUCCAAUCCUCAUUGAAAGUGAGCAAAGCUGGUGACCAUCACUACCUCCUGUGGGAGGGAGUUCCAUAGUUUAACCAUGGACUGAAUGAAUAAGUACUUCAUUUUGCCUGUCCUGAAUCUUCCAACAUUGAUCUUCAUUGGAUGUCCAUAAGUUGAGGUGCUAUGAGAGAAGGGGGAGAAGGGGGACUUUUCUCUAUACAGUGGUACCUCGGGUUAAGUACUUAAUUCGUUCCGGAGGUCUGUUCUUAACCUGAAACUGUUCUUAACCUGAAGCACCACUUUAGCUAAUGAGGCCUCCUGCUGCUGCCGCGCCGCCGGAGCAUGAUUUCUGUUCUCGUCCUGAAGCAAAGUUCUUAACGCGAGGUAAUAUUUCUGAGUUAGCGGAGUCUGUAACCUGAAGCGUAUGUAACCUGAAGCAUAUGUAACCCGAGGUACCACUGUACACUUUCUCCUUGUCAUGCAUAAUUUUAUAAACUUAUUUUCAUGUGGUCUCUUGUUCACCAAACUAUGUUACAACAGGGCAAGGGAAACGAGAUUUAUGUGAAGAGUUUUAGAUACUUAAGGUGUGGGAAUCCCCCAUCGAUACAUGAAUGAUGAUGAUAUACUGUUUCACCAUCUAAUUUAUUUUGGAUUAUGUCAUAUUGAGACAUUACAUAAAGGACACUGUGCCACAAAUAAGGACUCUGAAUGUUCACCCCCCCCCCCCAAAAAAGGGUCAGCGUGUCAAAGAUCUUAGUGCAGCGACCCAGCUCCUCGCCCAAGGUGGGUAUGUAGGGGGAAGGGUGGCUGAAGGGGGAGCACAAACACAGGAAAGGCAUCCUACUGAGAGAUGGUUUUGAACCGGAGCUUGCAUCAUUAGUCUACCUCAUUACCCUGUCUUUACUGCCAAAGGCAAAACAGGUGCAAGUUUGCCAAACGGGAAGAAAUUGCAGCCUUGUUAUGGGAAUCCAUACUUCAGGGAAAUCUUUUUUUAAAAAAUCCCUCCUAACAUAUUGAAAAACUGCCUAGUUAUGCAGACAGGAAAAGCAUAAGAAUUCAGAAUUCAAUAUGGUAUGUUGUUAACCACUGACACUGUCUGGGGGUCAACCCCUUUUCAGCAGCAUUCGCUCUCCCCUCCCCAGCACUGACACAUGGAAUGUGUGGCCUAGCCUUGAAAUCUGCCAGAAAAGCCUCUGGUCCACUGGGCCAGUCGUGUCCCAUGAUCCUCGUUAUGACUUCGCAAUAGAUUCUGACUGCGCUGUGGUGAUCAAAGAUGACUUGGCAGAGACUGUAUACAGUAUAGGUUCACAUGCCUGCGUUAUUCACUCAUGAAGUGGGGUGGGGGGCUGAAAGGAGUCAUUUUUACAUCAAGAGAGGGAUGUGAGUGAGGGGAAUUAAGCAAUCCACGCACAUUCCUAGGGAUAGGGGAGAAAUCUGAUUCGGUUCAUCAUUUAAGGACAACCUGCUUAUUUUGCACUUGCUGAAACAAGACGAAAAACCAAAACACAACCAUUCUUUGAAAUUUGCACUUCCCUGAAUUUUGCGAAGCAGUUUUUCAGCGAAGUCAUACGUGCAAAAAUGCAUUUAAUGGGGCAAAGGAUUUGUAAAGUGCAUAUGUUAUUGAAAACAAUAUACUUGGAGAAACAGUGUUGCAAAAAAAAAAAAAAAGGCAAAAUGGCAGACCAAAACUUGUUUUAUUUUAUUUAUUUGGAGCCAAAGCAGUUCUAAAAGCAGCUUACAUACAAUCAAAACAUGAUACUUAAUACCCACAGGUAUGCAAUCUAAAAUAAAACAUGACACACAAGAGAAAAGUGACAGGGAGGUAAGAGGAACAUCAUAAUCAAAUCCAAGCACUGAUUUCUAAACAGUUAUUCCUACAAUGCCCAUCUGGCACAGCUGAGUGCCAAGAGGUCCCGGGUACAGAUGGGCCUCCAGCAGUGGCAGACCUUGAGGUCUCAAAUUUCAGCGGUGCCCUGUGUGACACCAAAAUUCGGUACCCCUUCCAUCUCUUGCCUUCCAUUCUACAACAUAAUUGUGGCACCCCCUUGGCUCCACGCCCAGUGCAACCAAACUGGCCGCACUCCCUUAAAUCUACCUCCAACAAAGCUGACAGAGCGAGCCUCCUGCUAUCUAUCUCUCCCACUGAGGCAGCCUGAUGGAAAGGCUGCCCCCAGGUGGCAGUUUAGGGGAGAGGAGGUCUGAUGGAGCUGGCCUGUCAGAGAGGAGCUGAUGGAGUGAGCCCUGCUUCCCAGCUCUGCCCCUAGGAGAUAGUUUAUUUGAUACAUUUAUUUCAUAAAACUCAAUACACUACUUGACUGCAAAAAUUUCAAAGCAGUUUACAAAAAGACAAAGCAAUAGAAUCAAGGGGAAAUUACAACACAUUACAACACACAAUAAACACACACACACACAAUAAACACACACACACACACACACACACACACAUAAACACACACACAAUUAACAAACACACACAAGAAACACUCACAAGAAACACACACAAGAAACACACAAUAAAAAGUUACAAUACUAAAAUGAAUUCACACCAGCAUUUCUAAGCAUCUACGUAGGCUUGCCUAAACAAGGAUGUUUUUAGCAGGUGUUAAGAAUACAACAUCAGAGCCUGCUGGAUAUCAAGUUCCAAAGGUGCUGAGUUACUAAAUGAUUGAGUUAAGGGCUUUGUAUACUAAUAGUAACACCUUGAACCAGCAUGGCUGUGAGUCCUAGAAGACCUGCUCCCUGCUUUGCAAGCCUUUUCCCACGUUGUCUGGGAGGCUGCUGAACAGACUCUUGCGCUCAGGUAUUGUUUAGCAGGGGGUUGUUGGGGUUGUUAAUGCUGUUAUUUAUGUUUUUUGUAUUUUAUUUUAGAUGUUAUUAUUUAUGUGGAAAUUGUUUCAAUUUGGUUGUUUAUUUUUAUUUUUUCAUUGUUUAUGACUAGUUUUGUUAUACUUUUAAUUAUGCUUUUUUUUCAAGUAGUAAGCUGCCUUGAGCAUGGUUUUAAACUGUGGAAGGGCAGCAUACAAACCUGUAUGUGUGUAUCUUGGCACUGUAGCAGAUUGGCAACCAGUGCAGAUCUCUGAGCACUGAGUGUUAUAUGCUAACAAGGCAUAUAGAUGAGUUAGUUUGUCAUUUUUUACCUUUAUAGAUUUACCCUUGUUCUAAACUAAUAAUUGCUCACUGUCUACAUUUUACUACACAAGGUACUGCUGCAUGUAUGCGUUCUCUUCACAUUAUAUUUACCUUAUAUGGAAAUAGAUGUUGACUGGAAUCUUGUUUUAUUUAAUUUUGUUAGCUCAGUGAUUAAGCCCCCCUGGGGGAGGAAAUGUGAUGUAUACUGGAACUAUGUCCGAAUGUUUACCAACUGUUGAUUUAUGGGUGGAUUCUUCUUCUAUCAAGAUUCAAAUAUAUGUAUGUUCAUUAAGAAAAAGAUCACUCCUGUUAUUUUCAUGGUUGUUUAGAUUUCUAACUGUAUAAUGGUUACACUGCAUUUCGCUAUUUUAUCACCACCCUCCUUGUUGUGUUGACAGGGCCUCCUGUGAGCAAUUAUGUUGCAGCAUUCUGCACUAAGUGCAGCUUCCGGCUCAAGUGCGAGGGAAUCCAGGUGGAAAUUGCUGAAAUGUCCAGGAACUAAAAAGAAGCUCAGCAACUUUUGUGUCUGGAUUUUCACUUUUUGAAAUAUUGCAAUCAUACCUUAGGGAACAGGCUGGUUAUGGGGCCUCAAUAUGCAACAAGCACCACAAGAC